CUCAAUUUUUUAAUGACACUUAAGCUUAUUCCUGUUUUUUAAUAGAUUUUUCAUAGUGCAGACUUAGAGUGAUUUUUAGCUAUUUCUUGGCUAUUGUCUCCAAAUACAUAAGAGAGGUUUUAGUCCUAGAUUGUCCUGUUUGUGCUUUUAAAGAUUAGUUUUUUUCUCUGACCUGAAGCUUCCUUAUUUUUUAAUGACUUGCAGAUAAUGAGCAUUGGCAAUGAGAUCUUCAGAAGUCUUGUAGGGCUCCAGGAUGCUGAUUCAAUAAUAUCCCACUUUUAGUAGUCCUUUUUAAAUGUCACUCUGAAUUUGGCUAAAGCUAUGAUGUGAUAUGCAUCAUAUCUUGCAUUCCAAAAAAGCAACAACUCUGAGAAAUUCCUGUCUUUUCUGUAUUCUUGUUGGGAGAUUUCACCCUAUGAAUGUCAUAAUGGACAAUCUGAUUAUUACAGAUGUUUUCAUAGAUGGAUGCAUUUGCUUUUAUAUUAAUGUACACUUCUGAUUGUCUUUGUCUGCUGGAAAGCAGGGAGUUGUUUUGGUUUGGGUUUCUUUUCCAGUUCCUCACUUCCUCUUACUUCUGUUUCCCAAGCUGGUUACAUAUUGUUGCUGCUAUUUUUAGCUUCUUUCUGACUUUCAUUAAUCUUGAAUUUCCAACAUUGUCAUUAUGACAUUUGGGAUGAAUGUUUUCUAAUUAAAUUCACCUCUUUUGAACUGCCCUGAUUUAAAGGAUCUGUCUAAGAAAAGACAUAUUUUAAAUAUAAUGUCAUUGCUCAAGAUGCACCUUUUCCUGACACAGAUACAGUCAGCAGCUCAAGGUUUGGCUACAAACCUACUCAAUUUCUUGUUUUUCAGGUCAAAGUAACAUCCAGUCAGGCUUUGCAUGGCAUGAGGCAGAAACAGGAUUUUCUAGCAUGGUAGCAUAAAUGUUGCGGAAAGCAGAGUUUUAUUUGGAUUUAACAAAAGCUCUCAUCUGCCUGGAAGAGAUAUGGGAGAAUUGAAGGGAAGAAAGCAAGCUGGGAUUGGCUCUGGAAAUGAUCAGGAAAAGUGGACUGUGGAAGGAGCAGAGCAUGAAGGCUCCUUCCAGUGGCUGUGACACUGGAGGCAGGCAGCAAGUGGAGUAGUGAAUAUUGUGGAAAUUGUGGAUGAGACCUGGGUGCAGACACAGCAUCCUGUUGUGGCCACAGCCAUGUCACCAGCACUGAGGAGUGGCACGUGGCAAGGCUGGGUUGGUGGAGACCCAGCAGCUUCAUGUCUGGGGAGGCAAAAGAAAAAGCUGAGCACAGACAGGGGAGGGACAUCCCAGCACCAAAAUAGCUUCAAAUCUGCCAGGA